AGCAGUAGCCACGGUAAUACGUAGGUCCCGAGCGUUGUCCGGAUUUAUUGGGCGUAAAGCGAGCGCAGGCGGUUAGAUAAGUCUGAAGUUAAAGGCUGCGGCUUAACCAUAGUACGCUUUGGAAACUGUUUAACUUGAGUGCAAGAGGGGAGAGUGGAAUUCCAUGUGUAGCGGUGAAAUGCGUAGAUAUAUGGAGGAACACCGGUGGCGAAAGCGGCUCUCUGGCUUGUAACUGACGCUGAGGCUCGAAAGCGUGGGGAGCAAACAGGAUUAGAUACCCCGGUAGUCCCUGUCUCUUAUACC
rnacentral:rRNA from 1 species